rnacentral:rRNA from 1 species
CACGUAGGGUGCGAGCGUUGUCCGGAAUUAUUGGGCGUAAAGAGCUUGUAGGCGGCCUUUUGCGUCCGCUGUGAAAGCCCGGGGCUUAACCCCGGGUCGGCAGUGGAUACGGGCAGGCUAGAGGUAGGUAGGGGAGAAUGGAAUUCCCGGUGUAGCGGUGAAAUGCGCAGAUAUCGGGAGGAACACCGGUGGCGAAGGCGGUUCUCUGGGCCUUACCUGACGCUGAGGAGCGAAAGCGUGGGGAGCGAACAGG